AUCCCCAAGAUAAAGUUAAUUAAAAAGAGCGGCCUUAUUACAACUUCAAGCAUAAUAAAAAUAAUCCAAAUUAAAUGCUAAACUUAUUUAAAAUCGGCAAUCCAUCUUCAUGGCCACUCUGAAUCCUGCCUAGCUCCAAGUCCACCAACUAGGGCUCACCUGUAAGGAUGGAAGGGAAAAGGGGGUGAGUUUGGGAAACUCAGUGUAUACAGAAACCCAUCCAAAGCCCAAAUUAGCUCGAGCCCAUUGGGCCUAAGUCCUAUUCAGAUAAUAGUACACAGUGGACCGAAGCCCUUUUCAGAAUACAGUAGCAAGGCCUUAGCCUUUUUAACAUAACAGUGUGGCCCAUAGGCCCAAUUCAGUAACAUAAGUAACCAUAGUAGUAAUGAAUGCAAGCCCAACUGGGGAGACUACUCAACCCACCAACCGCUACACUGCCCCGUACCAGCCCUACACUCCAUGUGGGGAAUAUCUCAACCCACCCAGCCCUACACUCCACAGUUGCAGCAAUGCUGCUUAAAUAUCAGUGAGUUGAGGCAAAGCCUCCAGUACGUGGAUAAACCACUUUCAAUACUUCCUCCAUCAAUACCCCAAUCCCAUGCAACAGAUAUUAAUAAAGCAUAUCAUGUACAAUACAGUAUUAAUCAAUCAUGCAGUUUAGCCAAUUCAAACCUUAGGGGUAUUUCGGUAAUUAUGCUCUUUAGGGGUACUUUCGUACUUACGCAUCUACACACGGUAUUUCAGUAAUUUUUAGCUGUUUUAUGCAAUUUGGUUCCACCAUCUAACUAACAUGCUACUUUGCCCAUCUCUUACCCAUAUUGGUCCGUAAGCCCAUUGGGCCCAGUUUUGGCCCAUCGAGACCCUUUUUUCGAAGUACAUUACAACGUCACACGAACUUACUUACCACUUUGCGGUGCUAGAUCUAACAAUUACUCUAAGUCUUGAGAGCAUUUGCAUACUCACAAGCCUAUGAAAUGCCGGAAUUUCGGCAUUUCGGCUUUUGCCGGAUUGAACUAAGAAAGGGUGUUCGGUACACACACUUGUUUCGCGACGACUGCUACUGAGAUCUCUUCCGAUGUCCUACAAUUGAUUAGCACAGUUCUUAUUUACAAACCCCAAAACUUACUCAUCCAUGCUCAAACCGUGUCCCUAAAAGCCAUUGAAACCUUACCUUUUUGCCAAAAUCGAUAGCUGGCUCCGAAUUCGAUUGCUCCAAUGAUUCACGCUUUUGAUCCAACACUUAAGAAGACUCUAAUCACCGAAAGAAAACAUCAGUUACAAACCCUUAAAGCCUUAUGCUCAAAUCGACAGCCUCCCUAAUUUUUAGGGAUUUCGGCUUUUCCUAACAUCGUAAAAUAAGAACAGAUCUGAGAUGAUAAGUACUUACCCCUUACUCCUACUUGAUUUCCAUGCAAUCCGGUGUAGAUUUAUCUAUCAAACGACGGUAGAAAUCGAUUCCCAAAGUCUUGAAGUUUCGGCUAUAAGCCCCAAAAUCUAUGGUUUUUCGGCUUUUGGGUGAUGAAGGAGAUGACAAUAUAGAACUAUAACCUUGAAGUAAAAUUGCCGUCAGGUAUCUAGGAUUAAGAAAAGAUAAUCGUAGAUUAAUAAAAAUAAAGAACAUAGAAGGACCUGGCUUUGAAGAAAUCGGCACAAGUAGUGAUCACAGGAUUUCAGCUUUUAUGGAUUCGGCAAAAGUAUUGAUGAAUAGCAAGUAUGAUGAAUGGUUUUGAAGAAGAAAAAUAGAAAAAGAAGAAUAGGGGAGGUGGUAGUUUCGGCUGGAGAGGAAAAAGAGAGAAAAGAAAACCUUGUGAUGUCUGAGUAGAAGAGAACGGCACCACUCAAUACCCUAGGUGCCGAAAUACUAACCUCAAAACCCUCUGCCGAUUUUUCCCCCCUCAAUUCCCAAUAUUCGGCCAACUCCUAUCCUCUCUCCUAAUCCCUUAAAUCUCUCCCCUUAUCACUCCUUAAUCCAAGCGUUUGGACUAAUCCAAACUUUCCUUUAGUAGAAUCCACUUGGACUCCAACACUUACCCCUCCUGCACUUAAAAAUAAAUGCAUCUAUUUGUCAACGCAGGGAAUUGAUCCCAUGCCUCCCUCUAUGCUCCACACGCCACCUUUUUAGGAGCUUAGUAGCAUCACCCUUGCCACUUUACUACAGCUCUUUUUGUGAUGCAAUUUACCCAUCACUCCACUUAAAGCCACUUAGCCAGAACCCCUAACCUUUAAGUCCAAAAAAUUUCAAAAAUUCAACCGGGUUUUGGUCAACACAUGGGCCUUCUAUAAGCCCAUUUACCUACUCAAAAUAUUAAUUCCACAUCCAAAUACAAAAUUUUAAAAUCUUUACAAAAUAUUGAAAACCGCGAAUAAAUCUGAAAAUCAGGAUGUUAUAUGGAUUGAAAAAGUUGGUUGCAAAAUAGAGAAGAAAAUGAUGAACUACAAUUAGUUUCAGAUCUAAUUGAUAGUGAAAAUAAGACAUGGAAAAUAGAGUUAAUCAACAAUACCAUUCAAACAGAAGUUGCCUAAAAGAUAUUGCAGAUUCCUCUUACAGAAGUAGACCACGAAGAUUUUCAAGUGUGGAAAGGAGAACUUUCUGGAGAAUUUUCUGUCUGAAGGGCCUAUAAACUAUUACAAUAUCCUAGCUUGGAUCCUAAUAGUUAUUUAUUACAGGUCGAAAUCAAAGAAUUUUACAGGAAACUAUAGGAUUUAUAGCUACCAUAAAAAAUUACAUUAAUAAUUUGGCAGAUCUCCUGAAAUUAUAUCCCUACACUAGUCAACCUUAGACAUAAGCGAGUAAUUACAAAUGUCACAUGUCCUCGCUGUGACUCUGAAGAAGAGGAUAGCCACCAUGCUUUUAGAAAAUGCCCUGUAAUCAAAGAAAUAUGGCAAAACCUUAAUCUCUCUUGGGUUACAUCUCAUAUAAGUCAAAAUAUCUAGGAGUGGCUAACCUGGGUUUUUGGAAAAGGUACUAAGGAACAGUGUUGGUUCUUUUGUUGCGCCUUAUGGUUCAUUUGCAGCUUACGAAAUCAGUAUGUUCAUGAAAGAAAAUCCAUUUCAGUUAGACAUCUGUCACAAAAAAUCAGAAGAUAUGUAGAAGAACUUGAAGUGGUGCGCAAGAAAAAGUUUACCUUUAAUACAGAAGAGUUCAUCACAAACAGGGGCGAUAAAAAUUAAUACGAUAUAGUUCGAUGUUGCUUUUGACAAAAGAUGUUCUAGAUCAGCUUUGGGUUUAGUGGUUCGGGAUCAGAUGGAUGAGUUAAAAGCCUUAAAGAUGAUUCUCCAUUAUAAUAUCUCAUCUCUGUUCUAGCAGAAGCUCAUGCAGGAUUAGAAGCUAUCAAGUUAGUAUUAUCAAUGGGUCUAAGCUCAGCAACAAUAAUAGGAGAUUCAAAAAUAGUUAUAAAAAAUGUCAAUCGAUAGAAGUAGACAAAUUAGUACUAAGAGCAAUUAUCAGAGAUAUUCAAAAUAAGAGAUCUCGGCUCCCAGAGGUUACUUUUCAGUUUAUUCACAGAUCAGAGAAUACUCACGCUCAUAGAAUAGCAAAAGAAGCACUUGAAAGAAGAGAAGAAUCGUACCUGGUGGGGGAAGUGCUGAACCACAAAAAGUUGGCUCUGGAAGGAAGAUGGAGAAGAAACCUAGAUUGAGACUGUCGGUGAGGAGGAAAUAGUAUACAAGAUAGCAGGUAAAGUAAAAAUCUCUUUGGGAAGGAUUAUCUGCUGAAAAGGCAUGGCUGGUGACAGGAAAAGAAGAUAAAAUUUAAUGAUGGCCAGGCUAUUUUGAUUUGACUGGGAAAACUAAUAGGUUUCCUUUUAUUUAUUAUUUCUUUUCUGUUCUUACUUUAAAUUUCUUUCGUUUCUGUUUGUUCAUUUUAGUAAUGGGCCUCUAACUUAAAAUUGGUUGCCAAUUUUUGUUUAUUUGCUUUGUAAGAGAACUUGAGCCCAAAAUUUGUUGGGGAGUAGUUAGAUGGUUUUAUCAAAUAAAAG
rnacentral:lncRNA from 1 species